rnacentral:rRNA from 1 species
CCUACGGGAGGCAGCAGUGGGGAAUAUUGCACAAUGGGCACAAGCCUGAUGCAGCCAUGCCGCGUGUAUGAAGAAGGCCUUCGGGUUGUAAAGUACUUUCAGCGGGGAGGAAGGUGUUGAGGGUAAUAACCUCAGCAAUUGACGUUACCCGCAGAAGAAGCACCGGCUAACUCCGUGCCAGCAGCCGCGGUAAUACGGAGGGUGCAAGCGUUAAUCGGAAUUACUGGGCGUAAAGCGCACGCAGGCGGUCUGUCAAGUCGGAUGUGAAAUCCGCGGGCUCAACCUGGGAACUGCAUUCGAAACUGGCAGGCUGGAGUCUUGUAGAGGGGGGUAGAAUUCCAGGUGUAGCGGUGAAAUGCGUAGAGAUCUGGAGGAAUACCGGUGGCGAAGGCGGCCCCCUGGACAAAGACUGACGCUCAGGUGCGAAAGCGUGGGGAGCAAACAGGAUUAGAUACCCUCGUAGUC